UUCUCCCUACUGUUUUAUUUAUACAUCGCUACGUUUGUUUCCUUGACAAAGUAAUCAUAGACUCGCAAAUCUCUGGGGCAGUAUACCAUGGAAACUCAUUGUGUCUGCAAUCUCGUCAAAGUAUUUAUUUUUACUACUGUUGUGUAUAGAAUAGGAUCAGCCAAACACAACUGCAAACGAGCACCCUAUGUUUGUUGCCUGUCUUGGUCCACAGCAAACAUUGAAAUAUGUGACAAAUGUGCAGCAGGGUAUUUUGGGAUAAAAUGCCAAGCUUCAUGUCGUUAUCCAAACUAUGGAGAUCUGUGUCAGAAGAGCUGCAGCUGUACAGAACCAUAUUGUAACCACAUUACAGGAUGUCAAGGUAUUGACGAUACGGUAUA